GGAGAUUUGGCUCAGUGGUAGAGCACUUGCCUAGCAAGCGCAAGGCCCUGGGUUCGGUCCCCAGCUCCG
rfam:Rattus norvegicus chromosome 2, whole genome shotgun sequence.